rnacentral:rRNA from 1 species
CACGUAGGGCGCAAGCGUUGUCCGGAAUUAUUGGGCGUAAAGAGCUCGUAGGCGGUCUGUUGCGUCCGCUGUGAAAACUCGGGGCUUAACCCCGAGCCUGCAGUGGAUACGGGCAGACUAGAGGUAGGUAGGGGAGAAUGGAAUACCCGGUGUAGCGGUGAAAUGCGCAGAUAUCGGGAGGAACACCGGUGGCGAAGGCGGUUCUCUGGGCCUUACCUGACGCUGAGGAGCGAAAGCGUGGGGAGCGAACAGG